AGUGAACGCUGGCGGUAGGCCUAACACAUGCAAGUCGAACGGCAGCACAGUAAGAGCUUGCUCUUACGGGUGGCGAGUGGCGGACGGGUGAGGAAUACAUCGGAAUCUACUUUUUCGUGGGGGAUAACGUAGGGAAACUUACGCUAAUACCGCAUACGACCUACGGGUGAAAGCAGGGGAUCUUCGGACCUUGCGCGAUUGAAUGAGCCGAUGUCGGAUUAGUUAGUUGGCGGGGUAAAGGCCCACCAAGGCGACGAUCCGUAGCUGGUCUGAGAGGAUGAUCGGCCACACUGGAACUGAGACACGGUCCAGACUCCUACGGGAGGCAGCAGUGGGGAAUAUUGGACAAUGGGCGCAAGCCUGAUCCAGCCAUACCGCGUGGGUGAAGAAGGCCUUCGGGUUGUAAAGCCCUUUUGUUGGGAAAGAAAAUCAGCAGGUUAAUACCCCGCUGUUCUGACGGUACCCAAAGAAUAAGCACCGGCUAACUUCGUG
rnacentral:rRNA from 1 species